rnacentral:lncRNA from 1 species
AGGGAAACAGCAUGUGCUCUUUCUCUUCAAAACAGACCCUUUGUGGCCCUCUCUUUUUGGCACUUCCUCGUCCAUGGACAUCUAAGAGACACCACAGGCACCUUCGGUUGGGUCUGCUCAACAGGUACUGUUCCAUAUUGUAGUAGUUUUCUACCAUGUCUUUUUGCUGUUUUGUUGCAUGUGUUUUGUCUGUGUUGUAACAUUGGCUUGUUGUACGAUGAUGAUGCAGAAGGAGGGCACACUUGAAAGAAGCAAGACAGAGGAAAAGGAUGGUUGUGGUGAAAGCAGAAAUUCAGAUGAAAAACUUGAAAUUGUACAUGGAGAAUCAAACAAUCAUAGAGGAAAAUGAGAAGUUGAGGAAGCAAGCCAUGCUUCUGCACAAAGAG